AGACAAGGUCCUUCUGUAAGCACUGCUAAUGUUUUCCUGCAUUUUACGGUUCUCAGGCAAGAUGCUGUAUUGAAUUCUAUGUUGGGUGGACCAUUUCUUCCUUCAUCUUUCAUAUGGAGGGGGCUCUACCUGAGAAACACUCUCGGCUCCUCUCCACUCUCUUACUCAUACUUGCCCCAGGGAAGAAGAACUCAUGUGAUUGAAUCUACUUGUCUGUCUGCUCUCUGCCAUGCAAUCAGAAUCCCUGGACCAGAGAAGCCUGAUGUUCUUCAGCUACACCCAUGAGUAGUCAACUCUCCCUACAAAUACCAAACUCAUGUGGCUCACCUGCUUGAAAUCCUCCAAGAGUACAAGAGAUGGAACAUAUCUGUCUCCCUCAAACCCAUGUGUUGGAACCCUAUCCCCCAAUGUGAUGGCAUCAGUAGAUGAGGCCUUCAGGAAGAAAUCAGGUCAUGAGAGUGGAACCCUCAUGAAUGGGAUCAGCACCCUCAUAAGAGCUUCCCCUCUAUCUCCGCUAUUUGCCAUGUGAGGAUACAGGGAGAUGGCUGUCUGCACAUCAGGAAGAAGGCCCUCACCACAUACCAGAUCAACUUAGCACCUUGAUCUUGGAUUUCCCAGCCUCCAGAACUAUGAGAAAUAAAUG